CGCGUAGGCGGGAUGGCAAGUCGGUCGUAAAAAUCCUUCGGCUCAACCGAAGAACGUCGGCCGAUACUGCCGUUCUUGAGGGAUGCAGAGGAGAUUGGAAUUCCCGGUGUAGCGGUGAAAUGUGUAGAGAUCGGGAGGAACACCGGUGGCGAAGGCGGGUCUCUGGGCAUCUCCUGACGCUGAGGCGCGAAAGCGUGGGGAAGGCAAACG
rnacentral:rRNA from 1 species